rnacentral:pre_miRNA from 1 species
GCCUGGUUCAAGUAAUCCAGGAUAGGCUGUUACCAGGCAACACGGCCUAUUCUUGAUUACUUGUUUCAGGAGG